rnacentral:rRNA from 1 species
GAGUUUGAUCCUGGCUCAGGAUGAACGCUGGCGGCGUGCUUAACACAUGCAAGUCGAACGGAGUACCCCUGAAGGAGUUUUCGGACAACUGAUGGGACUACUUAGUGGCGGACGGGUGAGUAACGCGUGAGUAACCUGCCUUGGAGUGGGGAAUAACAGCUGGAAACAGCUGCUAAUACCGCAUAAUAUGUCUGUGUCGCAUGGCACUGGACAUCAAAGAUUUAUCGCUCUGAGAUGGACUCGCGUCUGAUUAGCUAGUUGGCGGGGUAACGGCCCACCAAGGCGACGAUCAGUAGCCGGACUGAGAGGUUGGCCGGCCACAUUGGGACUGAGACACGGCCCAGACUCCUACGGGAGGCAGCAGUGGGGAAUAUUGGGCAAUGGGCGCAAGCCUGACCCAGCAACGCCGCGUGAAGGAAGAAGGCUUUCGGGUUGUAAACUUCUUUUCUCAGGGACGAAGCAAGUGACGGUACCUGAGGAAUAAGCCACG